rnacentral:rRNA from 1 species
AGGGAAUAUUGGGCAAUGGUCGGAAGACUGACCCAGCCAUGCCGCGUGCAGGAAGACGGCCCAUUGGGUUGUAAACUGCUUUUAUCAGGGAAGAAAACGCCCAUGCGUGGGAACUUGCCGGUACCUGAUGAAUAAGCACCGGCUAACUCCGUGCCAGCAGCCGCGGUAAUACGGAGGGUGCGAGCGUUGUCCGGAUUUAUUGGGUUUAAAGGGUGCGUAGGCGGCUUUUUAAGUCAGCGGUGAAAGUUUUCGGCUCAACCGGAAAAAUGCCGUUGAUACUGGGGAGCUUGAGUCACGGAAGGGUACAUGGAAUUGAUGGUGUAGCGGUGAAAUGCAUAGAUACCAUCAGGAACACCGAUAGCGUAGGCAUUGUGCUUGCCGUGAACUGACGCUGAGGCACGAAAGCGUGGGUAGCGAAC